AAAAGUCUCUAUCGAGGUUAAAGGUACCCGUACCGCAAACCGACACAGGUGGGUGAGGAGAGUAUCCUAAGGCUAGCGAGAGAACUGUUGUUAAGGAACUCGGCAAAAUGACCCCGUAACUUAGGGAUAAGGGGUGCCACCAUCAGGUGGCCGCAGAGAAUAGGCCCAAGCGACUGUUUACCAAAAACAUAGGUUUCUGCUAAGUCGCAAGACGAUGUAUAGGAGCUGACGCCUGCCCGGUGCUGGAAGGUUAAGGGGAUCUGUUAGAGCAAUCGAAGCAGUGAACUUAAGCCCCAGUAAACGGCGGCCGUAACUAUAACGGUCCUAAGGUAGCGAAAUUCCUUGUCGGGUAAGUUCCGACCCGCACGAAAGGCGUAACGAUUUGGGCACUGUCUCAACAACAGACUCGGUGAAAUUGUAAUUCCGGUGAAGAUGCCGGAUACCUGCGACAGGACGGAAAGACCCCAUGGAGCUUUACUGUAGCUUGACAUUGGGUCUUGGUACUACAUGUACAGGAUAGGUGGGAGGCUUUGAAACCAGGACGCCAGUUUUGGCGGAGCCAUCCUUGGGAUACCACCCUUGUAGUACUGGGACUCUAACCAUAGGCCAUGAAUCUGGUCUUGGGACACUGUCAGGUGGGCAGUUUGACUGGGGCGGUCGCCUCCCAAAAGGUAACGGAGGCGCUCAAAGGUUCUCUCAGUACGGUCGGAAAUCGUACGUAGAGUGUAAAGGCAAAAGAGAGCUUGAUUGCAAGACAUACAGGUCGAGCAAGGAUGAAAAUCGGACUUAGUGAUCCGGUGGUUCUGCGUGGAAGGGCCAUCGCUCAACGGAUAAAAGCUACCCUGGGGAUAACAGGCUUAUCUCCCCCAAGAGUCCACAUCGACGGGGAGGUUUGGCACCUCGAUGUCGGCUCAUCACAUCCUGGGGCUGUAGUAGGUCCCAAGGGUUGGGCUGUUCGCCCAUUAAAGUGGUACGCGAGCUGGGUUCAGAACGUCGUGAGACAGUUCGGUCCCUAUCCGUCGCAGGCGUAGGAAAUUUGAGAAGACCUGUCCUUAGUACGAGAGGACCGGGAUGGACGUACCUCUGGUGUACCAGUUGUCCUGCCAAGGGCAUGGCUGGGUAGCUAUGUACGGAAUGGAUAAGCGCUGAAAGCAUCUAAGCGCGAAGCCAACUUCAAGAUAAGAUUUCCCACCGCAAGGGUAAGACCCCAGAAAGACUAUCUGGUUGAUAGGUCGAAGGUGUAAGUGCAGCAAUGUAUUUAGCUUAUCGAUACUAAUAG
rnacentral:rRNA from 1 species